GAGAAGGAAUCCAUCAUCACCACUGAGACCACAUUAGCUUUCCGCCACUGCGACAGAUGUGUGAGAAGUCUGACGUGGGCCUCAGGGUGCCGGCAGGGCCAGGCUCCUUCUGGAGACAGUAAAGAUGGCCCACUUCUUGUUCAUACAGCAGUGUUGGCUGAAGGUUACCCUAACUGCUGAGGGCUGCCCACCCUCCUCACUCUGUUCCCCUUCCUGGUCAUCAAAGACAUCAAGGGCAGCUGUGAUCACAACUGGAGACAUGCUGAAGGUUCUGGAUGUAGGAACAUCAAACACCUGAGCCCUGAGCAUAUUAGACAAGCCCACAAGACCCAUCUUUGUGGGUUUAUGGGAUACUAGCCAGGCUGCUGGACAGACCUGCCAUCCCACACACCUGGCACAAGAGGACAGAGAGUCCAAGGACACCCACCUCCCUUGGCGAUCUGUAAGAGUAGAUUCCUAGAGGGUUAAGGAGGUGGAUCAGUGAAAAAUGGGGUUGUUCUGAAAGCAUGAAGACCUGAAUUCGGAUUCCUAGAACCCACUAAAAGCCAUACAUGGGGCAGUAUGCAGAUGUCCAGCUGCUUACAUGAGGAGCUCUGGGAAGAGCUGAGAGUAGCCCAGGUCCACCUCUGGACCUGGAGGGCCCAGGCCUGGCCAGGCUCUUCCCAGUGCCUCUGGCUGUGCUUUCCCUGACAUCUACAAUAAAACCUCCCCCUUAACCAUAACUAAGCGGUUUUCUACCUGCAAGAGAUGAAGGGAGUCUGUAGUCAUCAAUCAAAACCACCACAAAAGUAGCUUCCUUGUCCUUCACAGUCAGGGGGAGCCCUGAUCCUGGACUUCCACGUGGUUUCUGGUGUCAGCAUAGCCUCCGGUGGCAGAACAGACCACAGACAUCAACAGGAACAUGGCCACGUUGAAUGAUUCUCCUUCCUCUGCUUCAUCUGUUUAGCUGUCCUGUUGAGGACUGUGGCUGAGCCUGUGUGUUUGUCCUUCAAGUGUGAGCUCCUCUUCUCUGCUUGCUCCUUGAAUAAAAUCCCUCACCUGCACCUCAUGCACACCUGAUCUCACAUACCCCUGGUGGUGCGAGAUGGCAACAUGCCCACCAGAAGAGGAAACGAGGUGGAUCAUGUGGAUGUCAUGACACAGCCUCGAGCGGCUGUUGGCCUGGUGCUAAGUCAGAGGAAGGAUCACUGAACCAGAGGCAUGACACAGUCAGGUAACCAAAACCGCAGAACGUAAAAGGAGGGGCCACCUUGCCUGGAAAUCA
rnacentral:lncRNA from 1 species